AGCGAACGCUGGCGGCGGGCCUAACACAUGCAAGUCGAACGCUGUAGCAAUACAGAGUGGCAGACGGGUGAGUAACGCGUGGGAACUCCCCCAAAGGUGCGGAAUAGCUCAGGGAAACUUGGGGUAAUACCGCAUAAUGCCGAAAGGCCAAAGAUUUAUCGCCUUUGGAUGGGCCCGCGUCGGAUUAGCUAGUUGGUAGGGUAACGGCCUACCAAGGCGACGAACCGUAGCUGGUUUGGGAGAAUGACCAGCCACACUGGGACUGAGACACGGCCCAGACACCUACGGGAGGCAGCAGUGGGGAAUCUUGGACAAUGGGCGCAAGCCUGAUCCAGCCAUGCCGCGUGAGUGACGAAGGCCUUAGGGUUGUAAAGCUCUUUUGCCGGGGACGAUAAUGACGGUACCCGGAGAAUAAGUCCCGGCUAACUUCGUGCCAGCCGCCGCCGUAA
rnacentral:rRNA from 1 species